rnacentral:rRNA from 1 species
GGCAGGCUUAACACAUGCAAGUCGAGGGGCAGCAUGGUCUUAGCUUGCUAAGGCCGAUGGCGACCGGCGCACGGGUGAGUAACACGUAUCCAACCUGCCGUCUACUCUUGGACAGCCUUCUGAAAGGAAGAUUAAUACAAGAUGGCAUCAUGAGUCCGCAUGUUCACAUGAUUAAAGGUAUUCCGGUAGACGAUGGGGAUGCGUUCCAUUAGAUAGUAGGCGGGGUAACGGCCCACCUAGUCUUCGAUGGAUAGGGGUUCUGAGAGGAAGGUCCCCCACAUUGGAACUGAGACACGGUCCAAACUCCUACGGGAGGCAGCAGUGAGGAAUAUUGGUCAAUGGGCGAGAGCCUGAACCAGCCAAGUAGCGUGAAGGAUGACUGCCCUAUGGGUUGUAAACUUCUUUUAUAAAGGAAUAAAGUCGGGUAUGGAUACCCGUUUGCAUGUACUUUAUGAAUAAGGAUCGGCUAACUCCGUGCCAGCAGCCGCGGUAAUACGGAGGAUCCGAGCGUUAUCCGGAUUUAUUGGGUUUAAAGGGAGCGUAGAUGGAUGUUUAAGUCAGUUGCGAAAGUUUGCGGCUCAACCGUAAAAUUGCGGUUGAUACUGGAUAUCUUGAGUGCAGUUGAGGCAGGCGGAAUUCGUGGUGUAGCGGUGAAAUGCUUAGAUAUCACGAAGAACUCCGAUUGCGAAGGCAGCCUGCUAAGCUGCAACUGACAUUGAGGCUCGAAAGUGUGGGUAUCAAACAGGAUUAGAUACCCUGGUAGUCCACACGGUAAACGAUGAAUACUCGCUGUUUGCGAUAUACUGCAAGCGGCCAAGCGAAAGCGUUAAGUAUUCCACCUGGGGAGUACGCCGGCAACGGUGAAACUCAAAGGAAUUGACGGGGGCCCGCACAAGCGGAGGAACAUGUGGUUUAAUUCGAUGAUACGCGAGGAACCUUACCCGGGCUUAAAUUGCAGAUGAAUUACGGUGAAAGCCGUAAGCCGCAAGGCAUCUGUGAAGGUGCUGCAUGGUUGUCGUCAGCUCGUGCCGUGAGGUGUCGGCUUAAGUGCCAUAACGAGCGCAACCCUUGUUGUCAGUUACUAACAGGUUCCGCUGAGGACUCUGACAAGACUGCCAUCGUAAGAUGUGAGGAAGGUGGGGAUGACGUCAAAUCAGCACGGCCCUUACGUCCGGGGCUACACACGUGUUACAAUGGGGGGUACAGAGGGCCGCUACCACGCGAGUGGAUGCCAAUCCCCAAAACCUCUCUCAGUUCGGACUGGAGUCUGCAACCCGACUCCACGAAGCUGGAUUCGCUAGUAAUCGCGCAUCAGCCACGGCGCGGUGAAUACGUUCCCGGGCCUUGUACACACCGCCCGUCAAGCCAUGGGAGCCGGGGGUACCUGAAGUGCGUAACCGCGAGGAGCGCCCUAGGGUAAAACUGGUGACUGGGGCUAAGUCGU